CUUGACUCUCUUGACAAAUGGAAUGUGGGGAGGUGAUGCUGCAUGACUUUCAAAGCUAUGUUAUGAAAGGCUCUAAGGCCAGAGCUCUUUCUCAUCAGCUCACACGCCCACGUGGAGGCACCUCAGGGAGCAGCCCAUGCAAACUGCAGUUGCCAAACAGCAGCUGCCAAUUUCAGCUGUCAGAUUUUCCCCAGUCAUGGGGAGCAGAGACCAGCCGACCCUGCGUAUCUUGUCUAAAUGCCUGACUUGUGGAACCUAUAAUCAUGAUAGUUGUUUUAUAUUGUUGGAUUUUGGGGUAAUUUGCUACACAGCCAUAAUAACUGAAACAAGAGGACAGUGACUGGAACUUGUGUGGUGGUGGUGGAUUUGGAGAGAGUGGACCUGUUGGAGAUGCUGAAUGGAAACAGAAUUAACAAGACACAGUCAAGGAAGGGAGAGAAAACAACUUAAUUGUGAAGAUGUUUCAGGGGAAGGCCAGGAUAGAAUAAACUUUUGAAUCUUUUCUUAAAUUUUAAAGGAUAAAAAGGGUUAGGAAUAUAGCUUAGUGAUAGGGUGCUUGCCCAACAUGCAUGAGUCCCUAGGCUCAAUCCCCAGUACUGCAAUUAAAAGAAAAGGCACCUGAAGAUUAUUGAGAAGGAAGGAAGGGAAAAAAA
rnacentral:lncRNA from 1 species